rnacentral:rRNA from 1 species
CCUACGGGAGGCAGCAGUGGGGAAUUUUGGACAAUGGGGGCAACCCUGAUCCAGCAAUGCCGCGUGAGUGAAGAAGGCCUUCGGGUUGUAAAGCUCUUUUGUCAGGGAAGAAACGGUUCUGGUUAAUACCUGGGGCUAAUGACGGUACCUGAAGAAUAAGCACCGGCUAACUACGUGCCAGCAGCCGCGGUAAUACGUAGGGUGCAAGCGUUAAUCGGAAUUACUGGGCGUAAAGCGUGCGCAGGCGGUUGUGCAAGACCGAUGUGAAAUCCCCGGGCUUAACCUGGGAAUGGCAUUGGUGACUGUACGGCUAGAGUGUGUCAGAGGGGGGUAGAAUUCCACGUGUAGCAGUGAAAUGCGUAGAGAUGUGGAGGAAUACCGAUGGCGAAGGCAGCCCCCUGGGAUAACACUGACGCUCAUGCACGAAAGCGUGGGGAGCAAACAGGAUUAGAUACCCUGGUAGUCCACGCCCUAAACGAUGUCUACUAGUUGUCGGGUCUUCAUUGACUUGGUAACGCAGCUAACGCGUGAAGUAGACCGCCUGGGGAGUACGGUCGCAAGNUUAAAACNCAAAGAUAGACGCGNGNGAGAGCGACGACGACGACGACGGAGGAGGAGG